GAACUGAAGAGUUUGAUCCUGGCUCAGAUUGAACGCUGGCGGCAUGCCUUACACAUGCAAGUCGAACGGUAACGCGGGGCAACCUGGCGACGAGUGGCGAACGGGUGAGUAAUACAUCGGAACGUGCCCAGUAGUGGGGGAUAGCCCGGCGAAAGCCGGAUUAAUACCGCAUACGACCUACGGGUGAAAGCAGGGGAUCGCAAGACCUUGCGCUAUUGGAGCGGCCGAUGUCAGAUUAGGUUGUUGGUGGGGUAAAAGCCUACCAAGCCGAC
rnacentral:rRNA from 1 species